CUGAUAGGUUAGAAGAAUAUGAAAGUAAGAGUCAUAAGAUCAUCACUUGAUUUUGAAAAACCUUCAUUACCAGAAUUCAUUUGCAGUUUCCAUGCUUUGAGACUGCCAAAGGGGUAUGUAAGAUAAUCUCAAGAAUCACCAUGCCAGUUCUGACCUCUCUCAUCGGUAUAAAAUCUUGAAGGAUUUGAACAGUUUGGUGGAGCAAGUACCUGGUACUACUUGCCCAUCAAGACCUAAUAAAAAUAAGUAUCAACACUGCCCCUGUUCCUCUGCCUUCAAGGCUUCAAGCUCGUGUUUGAUGCCACCUCUGCCAAUGAAGUAUCCUUCUCUACUCCGUAGAUAUCGAUUUCUGCUACUGCCCUUGAGUCCUUGGCAUGCUAAAAUAGGUUCUUUCUCAUUUUGGCAACACUCCUACUUCCUUAGCAACCAUACUGUAAUAAUCGUUGGAUUUUUAAUUACAAUUGUUGUAAUCAUAUGUUUUCCUCAUCUCCUGGCUUCUCCUCCCUAUCCUCUAGAGAUAACAGCUGUUCUAUUCAUGCUUCCAAUGGGCUUCUUACAGAAGAAAUUUGUAGGUCUCCAAUUCUCUUCCUAUGUUUACCUUAUCUAAAACUCGUUUAAUUCCUAAAUUGAACUUUAACCUCAUCUGCGUCGGACAUCUGCGGUGGACAACCUUUUGACAUUGGUUAUGUUGUCACAGUCUCCUCUACUCAUUGUUCUCUGCAGGAUCCAUGUUUCUCAUUCCCCUGUGUCCAAUCUUUGGGUUGUUUCUACAACCUCUUCUAUUCAACUUUGCAUUAGCAUCUUGAUCACAAUUUUUCGGCAAAUUUAUAUUUUUUUUGCUACUAUGAUAAGUACUCAGUUUUCCUAGUGUCUAAAAGUUUUUCCGCCAGAUACUGCUUUGGUACCAUGUUGAGAAUACAGAAAUGGAGAGAAAAAUCAGUUGUGGAAAAGUGUUCUGAACUGUAUAUAUCUAUUGAAUAUUAUUCAACAAUUAACACCUAUUUAUAGUCUUAAGCUGGUACUAUUGUAAUAUAGUGAUAUACAAGAUGAAGAUAUAAAUAAAUAAGAGAGUCCUAAAAUACAUUAAGCAUAACUUAAUUACACAUAAAAAUUAUGCUAGAUAAAUGAUAGUACAUUAUCAUGUCAUCAAUAAGUAAAGCUAGCUUAUAAUGCAUAACAUUAUUCUUUUUAUUUUAAUAUUUGUAUUUUUGUGUAUAAUUAAUUAAUUUAUGGCAUAUCUUAGUUGGUUCAUGUCUCAUAAUAUUUUGAAUUUAUUGUGUUGUGUAUUGGUGUAAUGCAUGUCUGUGCCGUGGAUCCUAAUUUAUGGAGUAGUUCAUGUUCUGAAUAAGUAGCUUGCUUAGUUGCAUCACCUAUUUUUCCCCUGUUCCAAAUUAUUGACUUUUGAUAUUGAAUUCUGGCUGGUGCUGCCUCCUCUCUUUCCCGGUCUUUUGGUAAUAUGAUGUAUUCUGCUGUUGUUCCUGGCAGGCACAAAAGCUUUUGAAUGAC
rnacentral:lncRNA from 1 species